GAGGGUAUAGCUCAGUGGUAGAGUGUGUGCUUAGCAUGCAUGAGGUCCUGGGUUCAAUUCCCCGCACCUCCA
rnacentral:tRNA from 1 species